CCUGCACUUAGAGGCACUGCAGGUGUGGCUGCUGUGUCACAUGUGUGUCUUUAGGUGGCAGAGUGAGAGAGGCCAUGUCUGUGCAGAGUGUUCUGACCUGUGAACAUCUGGAUGAUUAGUCACCUAAGAUU